GGUCCUGACUAGCUCAACUGGUAUAGUGUGGCAUUACCGUUGCCAGGGUUCGAUUCCCACUGGGACCCA